rnacentral:rRNA from 1 species
AUUGAACGCUGGCGGCAGGCCUAACACAUGCAAGUCGAACGGAUGAAGGGAGCUUGCUCCUGGAUUCAGCGGCGGACGGGUGAGUAAUGCCUAGGAAUCUGCCUGGUAGUGGGGGAUAACGUCCGGAAACGGGCGCUAAUACCGCAUACGUCCUGAGGGAGAAAGUGGGGGAUCUUCGGACCUCACGCUAUCAGAUGAGCCUAGGUCGGAUUAGCUAGUUGGUGGGGUAAAGGCCUACCAAGGCGACGAUCCGUAACUGGUCUGAGAGGAUGAUCAGUCACACUGGAACUGAGACACGGUCCAGACUCCUACGGGAGGCAGCAGUGGGGAAUAUUGGACAAUGGGCGAAAGCCUGAUCCAGCCAUGCCGCGUGUGUGAAGAAGGUCUUCGGAUUGUAAAGCACUUUAAGUUGGGAGGAAGGGCAGUAAGUUAAUACCUUGCUGUUUUGACGUUACCAACGGAAUAAGCACCGGCUAACUUCGUG